UAAUUCUCGCCUGUUUAACAAAAACAUGUCCUUUAGUUUAUGAUUUAAGGUCUAGCCUGCCCGGUGAUUUAAUUAAACGGCCGCAGUAUUUUGACUGUGCGAAGGUAGCAUAAUCAUUUGUCUCUUAAUUGGAGGCUAGUAUGAAUGGUUGUACGAGGAAUUGACUUUCUUUAUUUAAAUUUCAUGAAUUUGAUUUUUGAGUUAAAAAGCUUAAAUUUAUUUGUUAGACGAGAAGACCCUAUAGAAUUUUAUUUAUUAUUAAUAUAUUUUUAUUUGGCUAAUUACUAAUAAUUUGUUAUUAAUAAAUUUUGUUGGGGCGACAUUGAGAAUUUAUUAACUCUCAUUUAUUUUUAUUCAAUGAUUUUUGUUUUUUGUGAUCCUGAUAUUUUGGAUUAAAAGAUCAAAUUACCUUAGGGAUAACAGCGUAAUUUUUUCGUAGAGUUCUUAUCGAUGAAUAAAGUUUGCGACCUCGAUGUUGGAUUAAAGAAAGUUUUGGUGUAGAAGCUAUAUAAACUGAGUCUGUUCGACUUUUAAUUCUUUACAUGAUCUGAGUUCAGACCGGCGUAAGCCAGGUUGGUUUCUAUCUACAAAUUUAUUUUACAUUUUAGUACGAAAGGACCAAAUGUAAGUAAUAUUUAUAAUUUAUUGAUUAUUAUUA
rnacentral:rRNA from 1 species